rnacentral:misc_RNA from 1 species
GAAAUAUAUAAGAAUGGAGGAAGAAAAUUUGGGUUUGUAAGCUUGGGGCGUUUGGGUUGUCUACCGCCCAUGAGAGCAAAAACUUCAUCAGGUGGCUGCUUGGAACAAGUUAAUGUUCUGGUGAAACUGCACAAUAAGGCAUUUUCAAAUGUGCUUAUGAAGCUAGAGAAACAGCUGCAAGGAUUUAAAUAUUCAAAUUUUGA